GCCCCUCACGCCGCCCCUCACGCCGCCCCUCACGCCGCCCCUCACGCCGCCCCUCACGCCGCCCGGAGCUGUGAGGGUGAGGGGCUGAGGGUCAGCGCCCCGCAGGGCGAGACCAUCAGCUGCCUUUCAUUUAAACCAAAGACAAGGGGCGGCGGUGCAGAAAUGUCCUGGUUCGGUUUUAGGUUAAUGGGAGUUUGAAAGGUGUUAGCCAAGAAAUAGGAUUUUUUUCACAGCGAUCUUGGAAAGGAGAAGUCGUCGUUGUGUGAAGCUGAGAUACUGCGUCAAAGGCUGACAAAAGUUUCCUUGGGAGUGUGACUGGGAGAAGAGAGUCAGUGAUUUUUAACAGUCCAUUUCUCAACAAAAAGUGACAACAUGUAAUGACAUAAAGGUAUAUGUACAUAGUGGAGGCCAGAGAGACAGGAGAACUCUGCCAGUGCACUUAGCUUGUCAGGCACCGGAAGGCCCCAAUCCAGAAGCAAGAUAACUACAUGAAGCUGAGCUAAUGAGCACUGCUGAGAGGCAAGCAAUUCAACAUCAGCUUCUCCAAAAAUGCAGAUAUUCAUGUUCUCAACUUGUUGUCAAACAAAACAACAUCAAGCAACAACCCAUACUUCAGCAGUUUUACUUCUACAACCACAGAAAUAAAUGUUGCUAAUGGGCAAUAAUGCAGUGUCACUGAAGUAUCCCAGUGAGGCGAGUGGCAACAUGUCACAGCUUGCCAACUUCAAACACCUUUGUGAAUGCUGUCUCUCAUCAGUGGACUUGUAUUCCCGAAGUAAAGAGUAUUAGGUUUCAGUGAAAGACCUGAACUGUUCCAUUAAUGACCUGAUGGAUGAGACUCCUAACUGCAGAUCACAGCUUUCUCUAUUGUGCAGCAAGGAUAAGCUACUUCCAUAUGUUGGAGGAAGAGGUACAUAAAGGAGCCACUCAUUUCAUUUUUAACAAAGUGGGAUUACACUGAAGGAAGACAUUCUUUGGAUUGUUAAAAGCUUCUAAAAUACAGAACAGAAAACACUAAGAAAAAGAGAUGAAGCUCUCAGUUGGACAUAUAGUUAGGUGAGUAUGUUUGGGGCAUGUAAAAGCAGAAGAAAAAUGGAGUGCAACAGACUUAAAACCACACCCACAAACAUAAAAAGGAAAAAGAAAAGUAAAAUAAACUGUU